UACAGAGGUGGCAAGCGUUGUCCGGAAUUAUUGGGCGUAAAGAGCUUGUAGGCGGUUUGUCGCGUCUGCUGUGAAAUUUCGGGGCUCAACCCCGAACUUGCAGUGGGUACGGGCAGACUAGAGUGUGGUAGGGGAGACUGGAAUUCCUGGUGUAGCGGUGAAAUGCGCAGAUAUCAGGAGGAACACCGAUGGCGAAGGCAGGUCUCUGGGCCACUACUGACGCUGAGAAGCGAAAGCAUGGGGAGCGAACAGG
rnacentral:rRNA from 1 species